UACAGAGGCCUCGAGCGUUAGGCGGAAUCACUGGGCUUAAAGCGUGUGUAGGCGGAUCGGUAAGUACCUUGUGUAAUCCCACAGCUUAACUGUGGAACUGCUUGGUAUACUGCCAGUCUUGAGCCACUUAGGGGCUACCGGAACAAAUGGUGGAGCGGUGAAAUGCGUAGAUAUCAUUUGGAACGCCAAUGGUGAAAACAGGUAGCUGGGAGUGUGCUGACGCUGAGACACGAAAGCCAGGGGAGCAAACGGG
rnacentral:rRNA from 1 species